rnacentral:rRNA from 1 species
GAUGAACGCUGGCGGCGUGCCUAAUACAUGCAAGUCGAGCGAACAGACGAGGAGCUUGCUCCUCUGACGUUAGCGGCGGACGGGUGAGUAACACGUGGAUAACCUACCUAUAAGACUGGGAUAACUUCGGGAAACCGGAGCUAAUACCGGAUAAUAUAUUGAACCGCAUGGUUCAAUAGUGAAAGACGGUUUUGCUGUCACUUAUAGAUGGAUCCGCGCCGCAUUAGCUAGUUGGUAAGGUAACGGCUUACCAAGGCAACGAUGCGUAGCCGACCUGAGAGGGUGAUCGGCCACACUGGAACUGAGACACGGUCCAGACUCCUACGGGAGGCAGCAGUAGGGAAUCUUCCGCAAAGGGCGAAAGCCUGACGGAGCAACGCCGCGUGAGUGAUGAAGGUCUUCGGAUCGUAAAACUCUGUUAUUAGGGAAGAACAAAUGUGUAAGUAACUAUGCACGUCUUGACGGUACCUAAUCAGAAAGCCACGGCUAACUAUGUG